AGCUUGCUCCCGGAUGUUAGCGGCGGACGGGUGAGUACACGUGGGUAACCUGCCUGUAAGACUGGGAUAACUCCGGGAAACCGGAGCUAAUACCGGAUAGUUCCUUGAACCGCAUGGUUCAAGGAUGAAAGACGGUUUCGGCUGUCACUUACAGAUGGACCCGCGGCGCAUUAGCUAGUUGGUGAGGUAACGGCUCACCAAGGCGACGAUGCGUAGCCGACCUGAGAGGGUGAUCGGCCACACUGGGACUGAGACACGGCCCAGACUCCUACGGGAGGCAGCAGUAGGGAAUCUUCCGCAAUGGACGAAAGUCUGACGGAGCAACGCCGCGUGAGUGAUGAAGGUUUUCGGAUCGUAAAGCUCUGUUGUUAGGGAAGAACAAGUGCAAGAGUAACUGCUUGCACCUUGACGGUACCUAACCAGAAAGCCACGGCUAACUACGUGCCAGCAGCCGCGGUAAUACGUAGGUGGCAAGCGUUGUCCGGAAUUAUUGGGCGUAAAGGGCUCGCAGGCGGUUUCUUAAGUCUGAUGUGAAAGCCCCCGGCUCAACCGGGGAGGGUCAUUGGAAACUGGGAAACUUGAGUGCAGAAGAGGAGAGUGGAAUUCCACGUGUAGCGGUGAAAUGCGUAGAGAUGUGGAGGAACACCAGUGGCGAAGGCGACUCUCUGGUCUGUAACUGACGCUGAGGAGCGAAAGCGUGGGGAGCGAACAGGAUUAGAUACCCUGGUAGUCCACGCCGUAAACGAUGAGUGCUAAGUGUUAGGGGGUUUCCGCCCCUUAGUGCUGCAGCUAACGCAUUAAGCACUCCGCCUGGGGAGUACGGUCGCAAGACUGAAACUCAAAGGAAUUGACGGGGGCCCGCACAAGCGGUGGAGCAUGUGGUUUAAUUCGAAGCAACGCGAAGAACCUUACCAGGUCUUGACAUCCUCUGACAACCCUAGAGAUAGGGCUUUCCCUUCGGGGACAGAGUGACAGGUGGUGCAUGGUUGUCGUCAGCUCGUGUCGUGAGAUGUUGGGUUAAGUCCCGCAACGAGCGCAACCCUUGAUCUUAGUUGCCAGCAUUCAGUUGGGCACUCUAAGGUGACUGCCGGUGACAAACCGGAGGAAGGUGUGGAUGACGUCAAAUCAUCAUGCCCCUUAUGACCUGGGCUACACACGUGCUACAAUGGACAGAACAAAGGGCUGCGAGACCGCAAGGUUUAGCCAAUCCCACA
rnacentral:rRNA from 1 species